GACGAACGCUGGCGGCGUGCUUAACACAUGCAAGUCGAACGGAAAGGCCCUGCUUUUGUGGGGUGCUCGAGUGGCGAACGGGUGAGUAACACGUGAGUCACCUGCCCUUGACUUUGGGAUAACUUCAGGAAACUGGGGCUACUACCGGCUAGGAGCUCCUGCUGCAUGGUGGGGGUUGGAAAGUUUCGGCGGUUGGGGAUGGACUCGCGGCUUAUGAGCUUGUUGGGGGGGUAGUGGCAUACCAAGGCUUUGACAGGUAGCCGGACUGAGAGGAUGACCAGGCACACUGAAGCUGAGACAGGGUACAGAGUAGUACGGGAGGCAGGAGGGGGGAAUAUUGGACAAGGGGGGAAAGCCUGAUGCGGCCAUGCCGCGUGUGUGAAGAAGGUCUUCGGAUUGUAAAGCACUUUAAGUUGGGAGGAAGGGAAGUACGUGAAUACCUUGCUGUUUUGACGUUACCAAAAGAAUAAGCACAGGCUAACUUCGUG
rnacentral:rRNA from 1 species